rnacentral:lncRNA from 1 species
AAAACGGCUGUUUUUCUUUGGACUGAGAAGGAAAAAGUUCUCAGCUAUUAAAGAUUCUGAAAUUUCCAGUUUAUUGAAGAAAAAAAGAAAAAAGUUUCAGCCGUGGCUCUUCUCCCCACACACCUUAUUCAUUUUUUUCCCAGAUGCUUGUAAUGGAGAGAAAAAAUGAGGAGAGGAAAGAUGUAGUUAUCUAACCCAGUGAAAUGUGGUUAGCUGGUUCCAGAUUUUCUUCAUUUUUUCCUUUUCAUUCUAAUAACACUUACACAUUCAUUUGUAUUUCACACAGGCCCCAGAAACCUGAAACAAUAUGACUGUAUGCUGUGCAGCUGAUGGAUCUUUUCUGUGCACAUUUGGAAAAUACACCCUGCUGAAAGAGUUCUGGACAAUCACAUCUUCACUGAACACAGAGGCCCACAGAUAUCUUGGAAGGAGAAUUUUUAAGGUGCUGCCCACGCAAAGUUACUAAAGAAGAGAAGAUAGUAUUAUGUAAUACUGCUCAAGUGUGCUCAUUGACCUGGUUAGUGAGAUGAAGUUGCUGAACAACAUUGGUGUGAAUACCAACAAGAAGCCAGAAGAUCAAAGAACUAUCCACUGUUUAAAAAGAUCUUCUCAGGAGAGAAAGGCACAGUGAAGGGGGUCAGUUCUUAGAUGCUGAUUCUGUUGGGAACAGACAGUGAUGGAAGAGAAGGAAUUCUCUCGUAAAGGAAAAAUAAAGUUUUUUUUUUUUUCUUUCUUGUAGUGUAU